GUAUGUUAGGGUGAUCUGGCUGUGACAUCUGUCACCCCAUUGAUCACCAGGGUUGAUUCGGCUGAUCUGGCUGGCGAGGCGGGUGUCCCCUUCCUCCCUCACUGCUCCAUGUGUUUCCCUCCUGAAGCUGCGCACUCAGUAGAAGAGGACGAUGUCCCUGGUAUAGAAGGAGUGAACCAAGGUCUCUAGUCUUUGGUC
rnacentral:snRNA from 1 species